GGUUCAAUAUGUUGGUCGUGCCUUGGUACGUACUAAUUUAUUGGUUUCUUUCUUCUGACGAACCUUGAUGUCAUUAAUUUGGUGUCUUGGGGAAUCAGGACUGUUACUUUGAAAAAAUUAGAGUGUUUAAAGCAGGCUCACGCUUGAAUACAUUAGCAAGGAAUAAUGAAAUAGGACGUUUGAUUCCAUUUUUUUGGUUUCUAGGAUUGACGUA
rnacentral:rRNA from 1 species